rnacentral:tRNA from 1 species
CGCCAGAUAGCUCAGUUGGUAGAGCACCUGACUAGAGAUACAGGGGCUCAGGUUCUAAUCCUGGUCUGGUCU